AGUGAACGCUGGCGGUAGGCCUAACACAUGCAAGUCGAACGGCAGCACAGUAAGAGCUUGCUCUUACGGGUGGCGAGUGGCGGACGGGUGAGGAAUACAUCGGAAUCUACUUUUUCGUGGGGGAUAACGUAGGGAAACUUACGCUAAUACCGCAUACGACCUACGGGUGAAAGCAGGGGAUCUUCGGACCUUGCGCGAUUGAAUUAGCCGAUGUCGGAUUAGCUAGUUGGCGGGGUAAAGGCCCACCAAGGCGACGAUCCGUAGCUGGUCUGAGAGGAUGAUCAGCCACACUGGAACUGAGACACGGUCCAGACUCCUACGGGAGGCAGCAGUGGGGAAUCUUGGACAAUGGGCGCAAGCCUGAUCCAGCCAUACCGCGUGGGUGAAGAAGGCCUUCGGGUUGUAAAACCCUGUUGUUGGGAAAGAAAAGCAGCAGGUUAAUCCCCCGCUGUUCUGACGGUACCCAAAGAAUAAGCACCGGCUAACUUCGUG
rnacentral:rRNA from 1 species